rnacentral:rRNA from 1 species
AACGAACGCUAGCGGCAGGCUUAAUACAUGCAAGUCGAGGGGUAGCAAGAUUGUAGCAAUACAAUUGUUGACGACCGGCAAACGGGUGCGGAACACGUACACAACCUUCCUACAAGUGGGGAAUAGCCCAGAGAAAUUUGGAUUAAUACCCCGUAACAUAGCGAUGUGGCAUCACAUUGCUAUUAUAGCUUCGGCGCUUGUUGAUGGGUGUGCGGCUGAUUAGAUAGUUGGCGGGGUAACGGCCCACCAAGUCUACGAUCAGUAGCUGAUGUGAGAGGAUGAUCAGCCACACGGGAAAUGAGAAACGGGCCCGACUCCUACGGGAGGCAGCAGUAAGGAAUAUUGGACAAUGGACGCAAAUCUGAUCCAGCCAUGCCGCGUGAAGGAUUAAGGUCCUCUGGAUUGUAAACUUCUUUUAUAAGGGACGAAAAAAGGUCUUUCUAGAUCGUCUGACGGUACCUUAUGAAUAAGCACCGGCUAACUCCGUGCCAGCAGCCGCGGUAAAAC